rnacentral:rRNA from 1 species
AGUGAACGCUGGCGGUAGGCCUAACACAUGCAAGUCGAACGGCAGCACAGUAAGAGCUUGCUCUUACGGGUGGCGAGUGGCGGACGGGUGAGGAAUACAUCGGAAUCUACUUUUUCGUGGGGGAUAACGUAGGGAAACUUACGCUAAUACCGCAUACGACCUACGGGUGAAAGCAGGGGAUCUUCGGACCUUGCGCGAUUGAAUGAGCCGAUGUCGGAUUAGCUAGUUGGCGGGGUAAAGGCCCACCAAGGCGACGAUCCGUAGCUGGUCUGAGAGGAUGAUCAGCCACACUGGAACUGAGACACGGUCCCGACUCCUACGGGAGGCAGCAGUGGGGAAUAUUGGACAAUGGGCGCAAGCCUGAUCCAGCCAUACCGCAUGGGUGAAGAAGGCCUUCGGGUUGUAAAGCACUUUUGUUGGGCAAGAAAAGCAGCAGGUUCAUACAACGAUGUUCUGACGGUACCCAAAGAAUAAGCACCGGCUAACUUCGUG